rnacentral:rRNA from 1 species
UACGUAGGGCGCAAGCGUUGUCCGGAAUUAUUGGGCGUAAAGAGCUCGUAGGCGGUUUGUCGCGUCUGCUGUGAAAUCCCCAGGCUCAACUUGGGGCGUGCAGUGGGUACGGGCAGACUAGAGUGCGGUAGGGGAGACUGGAAUUCCUGGUGUAGCGGUGAAAUGCGCAGAUAUCAGGAGGAACACCGGUGGCGAAGGCGGGUCUCUGGGCCGUAACUGACGCUGGAGGAGCGAAGGCAUGGGGAGCGAACGGG